rnacentral:rRNA from 1 species
UUGCGAAAACUUUCAAUAUAUAUAAAAAUUACCUUUUGCAUAAUGGUUUAAUUAACUUUUAAAGAUUUUUUUUUCCCGAAAUAAAAAGAUCUAAUAAAAAAUUAAAAAUAUGUUUUAAAAUAUUUAUUUAAUUUUUUAUUAGGUGUGAAAGGCUAGUCAAUUUUUAUGAUAUCUGGAUAAGAUUAAAUGUAUUUAGUACAGGCUAAAAGCUGAAGAGCCCCCUGUUAAGGGGGGGCUCAAAAAGGAUAAUAAUAAAAAUAUUUUUAUUUAGGAUAAUUCUAUAAUAAUUUUAAUGCUUUAUAUAAUUAUUUAUUUGUUGGUUCUUUUAAAAUUUUUCUAGAAAAAUUUUAAUUUUCUAAUUUUUUCAUAAUGUUAAAAUAAGUAUUAAUCUUAAUUUAAAUAUAG